CGAGUGUGAGGGUCGGCGGCACGCUACAAUAGUUAACCUCAGACAAUUUGGUCAUUUUUUUAAAUGGUAUAUGUACUCUGUAAUUAAAUUUAUCAGCAAUCUACAGAAUUUUCAACACCUGAAAUGGAAAAUGGCUGGGAAAUAUGUAUUUGAACAUGCAAAAGUUCCCCAGGUCCAAUUCAUAAAAAAAAGAAACAUUGAUGCUCAAAAUGAAACAUACUAAUAGUCCAAACAUGAAACAUUUAGUGGUACCCACAACCACUAUCAAGAAAAAAUUGAUACCAAGACCACAAUUCUGAUAAAGCAAUAUCCAAUGUAGUAUCUGGGCUAGGGCUAUUUAUUUGUGAAUAACCUACUUGAUGAAUUUCUGAGCAAUGGAGGGUACUUUGGUUUGAACCGCAAUUCACUGGUUCACAAGUAACUAUGAAAUGCACCUGUUACAGUCGCACUGCUACCAACAAAAUUAACACUCCCGACCAAAAUGGCUCUUUUCAAUCUAUGAGGGUUACUUCUGCUUGAGGCAGAUAAGCCAAUAAUACCACAUUGGCCGUACAGAGGAAGGACAGAAGCUGGGAAACAGAUUUGCCUGUUGCCUCGACAGCCUUCGCUGAGUUUUAUUAACAUCAACCACUGUUUUCCACCAUUCAAUAUUAUUAGAUCACUUUACAUGACAAAUACUUGACUACAUUUAUAAUCCUCCUGGAUCAGAAGGCUAACAUUUUGGAAAUACAUGUAUCAUAAGAGCUAAUAGACCUUGCCUUUACAAGCAGCAAAACUGGUCUUACAUUGGUUAAACUUAGACCAUAAAUGCGUCAGCAGUAUUCAUUGUUACAAAAACCAGUUGUGAGUCUAACACUUUGAAUAAGGUGUGUGGCAGGAGUAUUAACCAGCUCUACUUUUGCGAAGACGUUCUGCUUGGUUGCGCUAACAACUGGCAUUUAAUGAUGGAAAUCACAAAAAUAAGGAAUCUGGAAUGAGUAACUUGAGCUUUACAGCCAAUAUAACUACAAAGAUAGGUAUUAUAACUACAAGAUAACCACAAGCACGUUUGACUUUUCACUUUUCCCUGUGUUCUCCCUAAUUAAUGGAUUGGUGCGAGAAGAAAUGGCCAUUUUCAUUUGUCUAGCAUGUUUGGCAGGUAACUUCCCUUUCCUUAUCUUUAGUGGAAGUUCGACCCCAUCCUGACCACUAAGAGGUACAAGGGAGGAAGCCUGAGGGAAGAAUCCAACAGGCUCGGGGAGGGGGAGGCAGCCACUGAUCAAAUUCAAGAUGGCGCACUGUUCCGUACAAAAGUGUUGCAACAGCUGGCACAAGAAACAGUACAGUAUUUCAUUUCAUCAAUUCCCGAAGGAUUCUGCCUGUAGGAAAAGAUGGGUAGUGGCCAUACGACCUGAGGAAGGUACCAACUUUAAGGUGACGGAUCGAACUUAUGUUUGUUCGCAACAUUUUCUGGAGACGGAUUUUUCGAACACCAUGACCGGUGUCCGAAAGCUGCAUAAAGGUGUUAUUCCUUCUCAGUUCUCCUGGACACUGAAAAAGAUGAAGAGAACACCACCAAAAAACAGACACAGGGCCCACAUCACCAAAGCUUAGACUUAUCAGUUCGAAUCAGAUCCAAAUUAAGCCCCAUUUUAGUUUUUCAAGAAGGUUGUUGUCGUUCCCGUAUGCCCAAUAAAAUAAAGCAACCAUUAGAAGAUCCCGCUUGUACUGUAGUGGUCUAGAGUUGCGCUUCUCGUCUGCACCAAAGUUCUGAAGGUUAGAAGUUCCAGUGAGAGUCGACUUAGCAGUAGGUAGUAGGAGAAUUCCUAGUCAGUUUCCCUCCCUUGAAAACCCACCCGUCCUAACAAGUUAACAAAAAUGAAAAAUUAUCAUCAGAUUUAAUUGUCUAUUAAAUUGAGAAAUAUUUCCAAAACUAAAAUCAAAAUCGAGAAGGCGGACCAAAAACAAAAUUCUAAAGAAAAGGAAAGAAAGAAAGGAAAGACACAUUUAAAUCCGUUAAUGUGACCGACACCUGCUAUUUUAAACUUUGUUUAAACUCUAAUCAUAUCGAUCAAUGUAACAAUUGUUUAGAAUGUAACUAUUGCAAAUCUUGCAACAAAUGAAAAACUUGUUAACAUUGUGUGCACUGCUAUGUUUGCGAAGAUUGCAUAACCUGUACCAAUUGCAUAGAUUGCGUCCUUUGUCAUCGUGUAAAUUGCAACAGCUGUGAUAGUAGUACCAAUUGUGAUCAUUGCAUCGAAUGUGUAAAUUGCAUUGAUUGUAAUUACUGCAUCAACUGCAAAGAUUUAUAUGGUGUAUUGUUUGUAGUAUUUAUAAACGACAGCAACAGCGGAUACGCUGUUACAUAAGGAUUAGAUUUAAAAAAGAAAAUUAUCCUGAUUUUGAAACUUGGCUUUAUAAUUGAAUAUGACGAAGAUAUAGAGAGAAUCCCUUACAUAUAGUCAAAUUUAAUAGAUGAAGCAGAUUGAGUCAUUUAACUCAUAAAAAAGAAAAACAAUUAUAUGUUUUUAAUCAAUUUGAGCCAUGGAAACUAAAAAGUGUAUCUAUUGUUGCAAAGAAAAACUGCUACCAGAGUUUAAAUUAAAACUCAACAGAACAUUAGAAAACCAUAGGAAAUGGAGUAUCUGUAAACAUGAUCAAUACGAAUAUAAUUGCUGGGAAUGUAGACCCAUUACUAAAGAAAAAGCGAGAAAUGCCAAAGACUACAAGCCUGAAGAUCUAUAUUGCGAGCAUCAAAAGUAUAAAUCGACAUGCUGGGUAUGUAAUAUUGGAAACCAAAAUAGAGACCAAAUAAAGGCGAAACGAAACAUUUAAAACUAAAUAAAAAUAACCAACUCUCAAAAUUGAGAGUUACAUUUGAAAACAAUUAGAUAUAAUAUAAAAAGGAGUAAUAUAAAAAAAACGAACAGACAAAAUAAUCCAGAUGGCAGACCACUGCUCUAUAACUUUAGAUACUACAAAAAGUCAUUUUUAUCUGAUUUUAUCGAGCGAUACAACAUACCCUUACCCCCACCAAGGAAGAAGAACAAAUUAACGUACUUUAUUUUAGCAAUUGCGAGAAAGCUCACUAUUGUCGGAUUAAAAAUUUAUCAAGGUUGAUAGGUGACAUCAACAAACACAACGGUAAACAAUAUUUUUGCUUUAGGCGUUUCUCCCACUUUCAAAACCAACAAAGACUAGUCAAACACAAAGAAGACUGUCAAGAAAUAGACGUCGCGCCUUCUAAAGCUGUGCUCCCCGAAAAAGGAAAGAACAUUCUCAGAUUUGAAAACCACAAAAAUUAAUAGGAUGCUCUAUUUGUUAUCUAUGCAGAUUUCGAAUCUGUUUUAGAGCCUCUUUUACCUGAACAGGCCAACACGAUCAAAAUUCAGCGUCAUAAACCAUGUGGUUACUCUUACGCAGUCGUGCCUUGCGACAGUGUCUGCAUGAGUAGCAAAACUUAAUGAGGUCAAGACAUAGCCACUCAUUUCAUAGAGUCUCUCUUGCGAGAAACAGAAACGAUUAACGAAACGUCAGCCAAACCAAAACCACUUGUUUGGAUGCCUAAAUUACAAAAACAACACGAUAAAUGCAACGCCUGUUGGAUCUGCGAGAAGCAUAUCUAUCCAACUGAAGAACCGCAGUGUCAAUGUCCUUUUCCUAGAGGACUAAAGGCCAAAAGAUAGACAAUCCGCAAGGCGGUACGUAUAUUAAAUUGCCCAAGUAUAUCGAAAAUGAGAAGGCCGUAAUAAACAUUAAAAACGGAGAUUGCAUUCGUUGGGCAAUAUGCGCGGCUUUUAAAUUAUAUUCAGAUGAAGUCAAACGCAAAAUUGAAAGGGAUCCAUGUUAUCGAAUAGAACGCGUAAAACUAACAACUUAUAAUCCACAUGAAUUAGAUUUCACUGGCAUAGACUUUCCAAUACCAAAGAACCAAAUUCUUAAAAUAGGAGCACAAAACAAUUUAUCCAUUAAUUUAUAUGGGUAGGCACGUUUACCACAUUAUAUUUGUCUAAAAACGUUUCGACAGGUAGACAUGUUGACUUCUUGUUAUUCGACAACGGCCACAUACAACAUUAGUGUUGGAUUGAAAACAAACCGCGACUCAUUUCAAAUUUGGUGCCAUGGCCACGCCAUUUACAAAUGUCUCAAAUGUCAAUGUAUUUUUCACGAAGCUGACAAAUUCACCAAACACCAGGAAGAUUGCCUAGGAUUAGACGUGCCCGUUACUAAAGUAAUGCUACCGCCAGAAAAUGACAAUAUAUUAAAACUCGGUCUGAAAGAUGACAAAAAUAAACAAUUAGCACCUUCCGUUGUUUACGCUGAUUUUGAGUCCGUGUUAGCACCAAUGCCACCUGCUAAUGGCAACACGGUUAAAAUGCAUUUACAUAUCGCUUCGGGGUAUGCAUCUUUCAUUAUUCGUAACGACGGCGUUUGCAUUAAGCGUCAAACUUACCGUGAGACUAAUGCGGGAAAAUCGUUUGUUAGGUCGUUAUUAUUAGACAGACGCGCAAUAAACAAAAUAUUUGAAAAGCCAAAAAUAAUAAAAUGGAACUUAGAAUUAUCCAAACCGCAUCGAAAAAUAAUAUCUGCUGGAUUUGUGAAAAACAAAUUUGGCUCGACCAAUUCGAUCAGCGCCAUUGUUUAAAACUGACAGAGCCGAAAACUAUAACUGACAAAUCGAAAUUCACCAAAAUGAGAGAAGACACUUGCAUGGUAUGCCAAAAGCCAAAUAAUAAAUUUCGCAGAGUUUGCGGCCAUUGUCACGUUACAGGCAAAUAUCGCAGCCCGGCGCACCAUUUAUGUAAUUUGCAAUUGCAGAUUAAACCGUAUAAAACAGACAUUUCCGUGUUUCUAAAUAAUUUGGAAAAUUACGACGCACAUUUGAUUAUUUAAGGGCUGUCAGCAAAUACGGCGGAAAAACUGCGUUGCAUUCCCAACAAUUCCAAAAAGUACAUUUCGUUUUUAGUGGGUCAACUCAAGUUUUUGGAUUCAUUUAAUUUUUACGAGUAUAUACGAGUAUAUGGAUUCAUUCGAACGAUUUGAAGAAACUCGUUUACCGCCACGAGAAGCUUUUUAUAGUUCAUUGAAACAGGGAGAUAUAUUAGAAGAAGAAUAUCACCAUGCUCAAGAAAUUUUUCAAAAGUUGAAAUGUAAAAACCUGGGUGAUUUCCACGAUUCAUACGUUAAACGGAUGCGUUGUUAUUAAACUGUGUGUUGGAAAAUUUCCGCAAAGUGAGCUGCAAAAAUUACGGUUUAGACCCGGCUAAUUAUUAUGCCGCGCCUGGUCUGGCCUGUCACGUCUUGUUAACAUUUUCCAAAAUAAAACUGGAACUUUUGAAAGACGUAGACAAACGGUAGUAUUUUGAGCGCAGGAAACAAACAUUACGCCAAAGCAAAUAAUAAAUAUUUGCUCGAUUAUCAGCCAAGCAAACCGUCGACUUACAUUAUAGAUUUAGACAAAAAUAAUCUUUAUGGCUGGGCAAUGAGUCCACUGUUACCCGUUGGAAGAUUUAAAUUGGGUAAACAAUUUGAAAACUUUUACAAGUGAUUAUAUUUUGCAAU